CCUACGGGAGGCAGCAGUGAGGAAUAUUGGUCAAUGGCCGAGAGGCUGAACGAGCCAAGUCGCGUGAGGGAAGACGGCCCUACGGGUUGUAAACCCCUUUUGUCGUGGAGCAAAGCGAGUCACGUGUGACGCAUUGAGAGUACCCGAAGACAAAGCAUCGGCGAACUCCGGGCACGCAGCCGCGGUAAUACGGAGACUGCGAGCGUUAUCCGGAUUUAUUGGGUUUAAAGGGUGCGCAGGCGGAGGUGCAAGUCAGCGGUUAAAGUGCGGGGCUCAACCCCGUACUGCCGUUGAAACUGCAUCCCUUGAGUGCGCGAGGAGGAAGCGGAAUGCGUGGUGUAGCGGUGAAAUGCAUAGAUAUCACGCAGAACUCCGAUUGCGAAGGCAGCACACCGGCGCGCAACUGACGCUCAGGCACGAAAGCGUGGGUAGCGAACAGGAUUAGAUACCCCGGUAGUC
rnacentral:rRNA from 1 species